AUGUAUAUGUAUAUAUAAAGGGAUAUAGAUAGACUGCCGAGUACUAUUGAUUGUAUAUAUGUAUGUUUUAAUGCAAAUGCAAAUAUACAUAACUUGAUUUUUAUUAAGAGUAAUUUCAUCUUUUUGUAAGACAGAGAAACCAGGUAAUAUAUAAGUAGUCUUCCUUGUUUACUCUUUUAGCAAAUUUCUUCUUUAUCCUUUCCAGCUUUCUUGUCAACAACUUUAUAUGACAGUAUAUGUAAAGCUAUUAAUAUUUAUUAAUAUUUUUAUCUAAUAAGAUAACAAGACUUAACAGGACCUGGAUUGUCUUUAAGAAUAUUAACACAAAUCUCAUUAUUAACAACAGCUGAAGCCUUAUCAUAAACCAUUAAUCUUUUGCCUGAGCUAUUUUUGAUGAUGUGUUAAAGGCGUCAUCUGUAACAAGGAGACAUUUUUCACAUAGAAAUUUAGUGUAAGGGUAUACACACAUAUUCCUGGUGGAAUUUUAUCAAUACAAACUUUCCCCAUGCUCACUGCAACGAAGACGCUAGAGCUCCAGCAACAUGUCCAGGAUAGGAGAGCACUGCGUUGGGCUCUCUCAAACUCGCGUACAAGUGCCAAGAACACCAGGUACUUGGCAGAGUCUUCAGGAUUCAAUAUGUGAUGACCCAAUGCUUCCCUGACCUUCUGACCUUCAACAGGAAAAAUGGUGAAGGUAAAACAGGUCAAAUGUUCACACAAAGUCAGAAAUCACGGUAUGGAAACACACGUAGUGGAACCACCAGAUGUGGAACUCCUCCUUCACGCAAUGGAAGACCCCUUCCUGAGGGCAAUCAGAGAUAUGCUUCACUCAAUAAAGACACGCCUCUUGGCUCCUCUGUACCGCCGCCUACGGGAAGGUCUCGAGCCACCAGCAUAGAAUCACUAGAACUCAGCUCCUAACAUGACAGGGGUGACUGAUCUGAUAGACUCGAGGUUACCAUGAUGGCCUUUCUUCUUGUUGUGAUGUACUGGAAAGUUUGUUGAGAUUCCCAUCUAUAAAGUUUGUCUAUGAAGCAGUGUGUGUGUUAUAUUUUGAGAAACAUUUUUUUCUCCUGUAUUCACUAAUCCAGCUGAAAAUACCAUGUUUACCUUUGUCACUUUGUAUCAAAACAAUAUUUUCUCCUAGAUAUUCAAGAUAUUUUAAAGUGACACUUGUAAACAUUAGUUGGAUUAAUUACUUUAUAGUUUGAUUAGAUCACUUGAUUUUUUAUAGGAGCACAUAGGGAUCAUCCCUUUAGAGUGAGAAUCACUGUAUAUUGCUUACGUACUUCACUGAGUUGACAUCACAUAUAAAUACAGAACAAUACUGUAAUGAUAGUUGGUCUGUUUUUCAAGUGAACGUUGACAUUUUCUCCUGCACUCUAUUGUAUAUAACUAUGAUAGAUUUCCACUUUUUCUUCUAUUUCCUUUUUUAUUUUUUUUUUGUGUGAAGUGAGUAAAGAUU
rnacentral:misc_RNA from 1 species